rfam:Brachypodium distachyon strain Bd21 chromosome 4, whole genome shotgun sequence.
AUUCUACACCCUCCGUCUAACAAAAGAUGUCUCAAUUUUGACCAAAUUUAAAUGCAUCUAUACCUAAGUCAUGUCUAGAUACAUCCAAAUUUUGACAAACUUCAGACAUCUUUUGUUGGAUGGAGGGAGUAUGAU